UGACGUAUUAGAUUUCAAAAACUGGUGCGGAAAAUUUUAUAAAAAAACCUGUGUCUCUGAAGAAACAAAACAUUUUCCUCGUAACGAAAAGGUCAACAGCACGUCAACAGCAACAAUAAGCACGUUUUCAUAUUUUAAAUACACACCCCAACAAAAAGGCACUGUUCAAGCCUAUCCUUUUACUGACGGUUUGGUGUCACAUACAUUUAUCACAACUUGCGCAUCCCUUAGGAAAAGUUCCUAUUAAGCCGGCCCCAGACGAUGUGUGUAUGUGGCGAACGUUCGGCAUUCGCGGUAUUUCGCGGAGCCUGUGGGAGGUCAAGUGCGUGUAUCAUUCGGCAUUCGGCCGCUAUCCGAACUGCUGUCGGUUUUAGGGCACGCAUCAAAGGAGGCCGCGCUUAUUCGCGUUAGCUCCCAGACGGUGUGCUUAGCUACGCACACUUAUUUGCCUAUUUUGUCUUCAGUCAGAGUCGCGACAAGCUUAGCAGCGGGCGUUUUUGUAUAAUAUUUUUGUUAUCAUGGAAUGGUCUAAUGAUUUGGCGAUUGAAUUCUUGGAUCUGUACGAAUUAUAUCUCGUAAUAUGGGACCCAAAAUACCCAGACCACAAAAAUAGGAACAAAGUUGGCGACGCCUGGGUGCAAAUACAUUCAUCUUUUUCAAAGAAGGACCAAAUAAGUGUCGCAGAUCUAAAAAAGAAGAAAGAUUCUUUAAUGUCUAUAUUCAGAACCCUGCUUAACAGAGUUAAAGCAAGCAACAAAUCUAGUGCUGGCACAAAUGACAUUUUUAAACCAAACUGGUUUGCAUUUGAUAAAAUGCAAAAUGCUUCCUAAAAUAACCACAUAGGCUGCAAAAACCACUACUACUCCUCCCCGCUACUGUUCUAUAACUGAAGCCCUGUGGCGAACGUUUGCCAAUAAAGAUGCGAUGUGGAAUAUAUCCCGAAUGCCGUAGCAUGUGGGAGGGUAGCCGAAGCCGCAGUACGAAGGUACAUUCGCCGAAUACACACAUCGUCUGGGGCCGGCUUCAAGGCCAACAAAAUGGAGCAUAUAAGGGAAUGCACUGCUUUUGUUGCAGAAGAACACAAACCAUAUUUCGAUGCUAUUCUUCAGUGGCCUACAAUCAAUAAUCAAUGAGUGAACCGAAGAUUAGUUUUUCCAAAACAUUGUACUUUUCUAUUGAAAUUAGCUGUUUAUUUUUGACUUGUACUUUACAUAACUAAAGCGGUAUUAAAAAAAAUAAAUAUUUUUAAAAUUUACUAAA